GAGUUUUAUAGUUUCUUGUCUUACAUUUCAGUCUUUAAUCCAUCAAAUUUAUUUUUAUAUAUGGUAUAAGGUAAGGAUCCAACUUCAUUCUCUUGUAUGUGGAUAUCCACUUUUCCUAGCACCACUAUCUGGUGAAAAAAAAAUUG